rnacentral:rRNA from 1 species
GACGAACGCUGGCGGCGUGCUUAACACAUGCAAGUCGAGCGGUAAGGCCCUUUCGGGGGUACGACGAGCGGCGAACGGGUGAGUAACACGUGGGUGACCUGCCCUCAGCUCUGGGAUAAGCCUGGGAAACCGGGUCUAAUACUGGAUAUGACUCCAUGACGCAUGUUGUGGGGUGGAAAGCCUUGUGCGGCUGAGGAUGGGCCCGCGGCCUAUCAACUUGUUGGUGGGGUGANCGGCCU